UCAUCAAAGGCUAAAUAGCGGCCGGAGACCGAUAGCGAACAAGUACCGUGAGGGAAAGAUGACAAGCACUUUGAAAAGAGGGUGAAAAGAGCCUGAAACCGUCACGGGGGAAGCGGAUUGCGUUGGCUUGGUGGGUCCCUGCGUGUUCAGCCCGUUUUGGGUGCAUUGACGUAGGGACUUAUCCGCCGUGGGUUCUGGUUGGUCGAUUUUGGACCGACUGGGGCUGAGGGCUCCCUUUUAUAGGUGAGGACGGUGGAGCGACGACGCGAUACGACCCGUCUUGAAACACGGACCAAGGAGUCUAGCGCGAGUGCGAGUCGGAGGGUGCAAGCCCGUGGGCGAAGUGAAAGCGAGUUUUAAAAACUAGCAGUUUGGGGCGGCAUAAGGUCGUUGACCUUAAGACCGACCCUGAGCAGUUGCGCUGGGACCCGAAAGAUGGUGAACUAUGCCGGAGUAGGGCAAAGCCAGAGGAAACUCUGGUGGAGGCUCGUAGCGGUGCUGACGUGCAAAUCGCUCGUCGAACUUGGGUAUAGGGGCGAAAGACUAAUCGAACCAUCUAGUAGCUGGUUCCCUCCGAAGUUUCUCUCAGGAUAGCGGGCCGACAUGCGUUGUUUUGUGCGGUAAAGCGAAUGAUUAGCGCACUCGGGGGCGUUUAGCCUUCGGGCGAUUCUCAAACUUUCAAUGCGCAAGGGUGCCGUUGCUUAAUUGAACGGUACCGGCAAAAACGUCGGCCCUGUGGGCCACUUUUGGUAAGC
rnacentral:rRNA from 2 species